GGUGAAGUAGCUCAGUUGGUAGAGCAUCGGACUGAAAAUCCGUGUGUCGGCGGUUCGAGUCCGCCCUUUACCACAA
rnacentral:tRNA from 2 species